AGCGAACGCUGGCGGCAGGCUUAACACAUGCAAGUCGAACGCUCGUAGCAAUACGGGAGUGGCAGACGGGUGAGUAACGCGUGGGAAUAUGCCUUUUGGUUCGGAAUAACUCAGGGAAACUUGAGCUAAUACCGGAUAAGCCCGUGAGGGGAAAGAUUUAUCGCCAAAAGAUUAGCCCGCGUCCGAUUAGCUAGUUGGCGAGGUAAUGGCUCACCAAGGCGACGAUCGGUAGCUGGUCUGAGAGGAUGAUCAGCCACAUUGGGACUGAGACACGGCCCAAACUCCUACGGGAGGCAGCAGUGGGGAAUAUUGGACAAUGGGCGCAAGCCUGAUCCAGCCAUGCCGCGUGAGUGGUGAAGGCCUUAGGGUUGUAAAGCUCUUUUGUCCGGGAAGAUAAUGACGGUACCGGAAGAAUAAGCCCCGGCUAACUUCGUGCCAGCCGCCGCCGUAA
rnacentral:rRNA from 1 species